GUGCAUCCUGAGGCCCAAGUCCUCCUCACAGUGGCUUCACUGGGUGCUGGGACUCUGCAGGGACCGAGCUGUUGGUGCUCCAGCAUUCAGGGAGCUCCUGCCUUGGGGUGGACAGACAGCAGACAACAGCUUCUGCCGUGCUCCCAGAUGAGAGCCAGAGCCCUGCCUAUCGGGAGGCCACACUCAUGCCCAAGACUUCUAGGCCUCAGCAGUGCUCCCAAGGGUGUGGCACCAGGUGAAGCAGGGCAGGUGGAAUGCAG
rnacentral:lncRNA from 1 species